UCAUCCAUACAGGAGAUAAUGUAAACUCUCUGAAGAUGAGUAGAAAAAAUUUAAAAGAUAGGUAAUUGUAAUAUAGAGGCAUAAUGAGCUUUCUGAAGAUAAAAGCGAUUAUAAUGCAAUAACUCAUACGAUGAGGCAUCUCGUAAAGUGAGGAAUAAAUAUCAAGUUGGUGGCUCGUUACAAAUUAUAAGAGACUUAUAAGCAGGCCUCGGAUAGGUGGGGUCUUAUAGCUGGUUUCGACAAUAGUGAAAGGUGAGGAACAAACAUCUCGCGAAACCAGGAAUAAACUUCUGGCAAGGGUUCUCAAACUAUCGAAUGCUUAUAAGUGGCCUCGACAAUAGUGAGAGGCGAGGAAUAAACAUCGCGCGAAACCAGGAAUAAGCACCUGGUGAGACGGGGAAUAAACAUCCCGCGAAUAAGGCCAUGAAAGGCUCCUUUUUUCAAGGGCAAACACUUUUGGCUAUUUGCCAUGUCCUUUUUUCAAGGAACAAGGACUCCAGGAUAUUGCCUCUCCUUUAUUCAAGGAACGAGGACUUCAAGAUACUACCUAUUCUUUUAUUCAAGGAGUGAGGACUCCAAGAAUUCUGCCUCCGGUAGUAAGAGAUUCAUGAGCUAGGGCUCACCUUAAGCAAUUAGAAUGAUUAAUAGAGCCAUUGAACAAGAAAAUUCCAAGCUAAGCAAUUUAUCAAACACUUAGCAUGCAUUGUAAAAAUAAUUCCUUUCAGCACAAAUGAAGUUGGUUGUCCAUCCACAACAUCAUCAAGAAUUAUAGUAGCAUAAUUUCACAUAUCUUUCACAAUUCACCAUCUUGGACUUUGAUUUAAUUUAUAUACAAAUCAAAUGGUCUAGUUGCUAUAGAAUUAGUAGGCAAAUUAAAGAAUUUUGCCACCUCAAACUCAAAUUUUGCCAUUAUCUAUCUUCUUCAAUGUUGAGGCUCCAGCAGAAAGCAACAAGUAAAAAUUGAAAAAUAGAUACAUGCAUGCUCUUAUUCACUUUAAUGGGGAUUUUUAAAAUAGCUUGUAGCAUUAACAAGGCACCAAAUCUUUUCAUGACCUAUUCAACUUUGAAUUAAUAGCUGAAAUACCUUAAAGCUUGCAAAGAGUUUGGAUGAAGAGAUGGAAAUUCACAUCUGUUUAGCCACCAUUGCAAUUGCAUAAUAGACUUCUGUUGUGGGUAGCAUAUUCCAGAAAUUGCCUUUCCCAGGCCAUCAAAUUUAUGAUGCCAUUACAAAGUAGUUGAUUAGAAAGUUGACUUGUUAAGCAUUUCAACAAUUAGCCCAAAUAUAUUAGCUUUGAUUUCCAUUACUUUUUCUUGAUUGUUGGCAGCAACUGACUUUUGACCACUUUUGUCUUUACUCUUGUAAAUC
rnacentral:lncRNA from 1 species